rnacentral:rRNA from 1 species
GAUGAACGCUGGCGGCGUGCCUAAUACAUGCAAGUCGAGCGAACUGAUUAGAAGCUUGCUUCUAUGACGUUAGCGGCGGACGGGUGAGUAACACGUGGGCAACCUGCCUGUAAGACUGGGAUAACUUCGGGAAACCGAAGCUAAUACCGGAUAGGAUCUUCUCCCUCAUGGGAGAUGAUUGAAAGAUGGUUUCGGCUAUCACUUACAGAUGGGCCCGCGGUGCAUUAGCUAGUUGGUGAGGUAACGGCUCACCAAGGCAACGAUGCAUAGCCGACCCGAGAGGGUGAUCGGCCACACUGGGACUGAGACACGGCCCAGACUCCUACGGGAGGCAGCAGUAGGGAAUCUUCCGCAAUGGACGAAAGUCUGACGGAGCAACGCCGCGUGAGUGAUGAAGGCUUUCGGGUCGUAAAACUCUGUUGUUAGGGAAGAACAAGUACGAGAGUAACUGCUCGUACCUUGACGGUACCUAACCAGAAAGCCACGGCUAACUACGUGCCAGCAGCCGCCGUAACAC